ACACGUUUGUCUUCAUGUUUACUUGUCUUUUUACAUGUAUGUUUGUGUCUUUAUUUAUUUAUAAUUCUUUAUGUUCGUGGCUGACAGGCUGCUAGAUUAUCUGUGGUGCAGUGGUCCUGAGCGCCCCCAGGUGGCAUGGAUGUACUAUAUAGUUAAUAAACUCCACAUGUAAACUAACGGGGUACACUCCAAACUAAAAAGCCGCUAGAGAACAAAAAAAACAUUUGAGUUAUUUCUAAUCACGCGGAUGAAUGUUCAAAUUUAACAUUUCCUAAUAAGUUUGGUUUUAGAUAGUUAUGUUUUAAAAAGCGGCGUGGUGGUAAGAUGAUUUCUUCGUUUACGAUUGAGUGGGCGGGGCUCCACCUCCCCUUUACUACGGCUCAAAAUGACGUCAUCGGCUAUUGGGCUACAUUUUUAUAGCGUUGAAGUGAAUAAAGACACGUCGUCCAUCUUUUUUAACGGUCUAACUGAACUGAUUGUAACUGACUGCUUUAACCUGAACAUGACUAUGAAACUCUUGAGGCUAUAUUGGAGACGUCAGUGUCGUGAGCAGACAGGAAGUUGGAGACGGGACGACAGGGAAUGCCCAAGCAUCUCAUCACUAGAGGGUGACAAAAACACGCACUCCUCCACAUUUGUAGUACUGUUUCAGAAUGGGAGCACUGCCACACCAGGCUGUAGGAGCAAUUCCACCUCCAUAGCAGCUGGACCAGUUACCCAUCAACACACCGCAUUCUUUGUUG